rnacentral:lncRNA from 13 species
AUGGCGUGCAUAUCAAAUGUGAGCUCAAAAGGGCCUUUAAUAGACAACAGAGGACAGUCUGGUACCUCAUUUAAUAGACAACAGAGGACUGAGUCUGGUACCUCAUUUAAUAGACAACAGAGGACUGAGUCUGGUACCUCAUUUAAUAGACAACAGAGGACUGAGUCUGGUACCUCAUUUAAUAGACAACAGAGGACUGAGUCUGGUACCUCAUUUAAUAGACAACAGAGGACUGAGUCUGGUACCUCAUUUAAUAGACAACAGAGGACUGAGUCUGGUACCUCAUGUAAUAGACAACAGAGGACUGAGUCUGGUACCUCAUUUAAUAGACAACAGAGGACUGAGUCUGGUACCUCAUGUAAUAGACAACAGAGGACUGAGUCUGGUACCUCAUGUAAUAGACAACAGAGGACUGAGUCUGGUACCUCAUUUAAUAGACAACAGAGGACGGAGUCUGGUACCUCAUUUAAUAGACAACAGUGUCCAGAGUCUGGUACCUCAUUUAAUAGGCAACAGACAACAGAAGACAGUGUCCAGGGUCUGGUACCUGAUUUAAUAGACAACAGAAGACUGAGUGUCCAGAGUCUAUAAUGUGUGAAUGGGGAUGAUUCCACAGAGACAGAAUGAAAGGAAGAUUAGAGAAGAGAAAGAGACAGUUUAAUACCAGAUCCUACAACAACACCAAAUCAAUAGAGUUAGAGUAUGUCCAAAAUGACAUCCUAUUCUCUAUAGGGCCCUGGUCUAAAGUAGUGCACUACAUAGGGUAUAGGGUCCCAUACGGUUCUGGUCUAAAGUAGUGUACUACAUAGGGUAUAGGGUCCCAUACGGUUCUGGUCAAAAGUAGUGCACUACAUAGGGUAUAGGGUCCAAUACGGUUCUGGUCAAAAGUAGUGCACUACAUAGGGUAUAGGGUCCAAUACGGUUCUGGUCUAAAUUAGUGCACUACAUAGGGUAUAGGGUCCCAUACAGUUCUGGUCAAAAGUAGUGCACUACAUAGGGUAUAGGGUCCUAUACGGUUCUGGUCAAAAGUAGUGCACUACAUAGGGUAUAGGGUCCAAUACGGUUCUGGUCUAAAUUAGUGCACUACAUAGGGUAUAGGGUCCCAUACAGUUCUGGUCAAAAGUAGUGCACUACAUAGGGUNNNNNNNNNNNNNNNNNNNNNNNNNNNNNNNNNNNNNNNNNNNNNNNNNNNNNNNNNNNNNNNNNNNNNNNNNNNNNNNNNNNNNNNNNNNNNNNNNNNNUCUGUCUGCCUGUCUGCUUGCCUGCCUGCCUGCCUGCCUGCCUGUCUGUCUGUCUGUCUGCCUGCCUGCCUGCCUGCCUGUCUGUCUGUCUGUCUGUCUGUCUGCCUGCCUGCUUGUCUGCCUGCCUGCCUGUCUGUCUGCCUGUCUGUCUGUCUGUCUGUCUGUCUGUCUGCCUGUCUGUCUAUCUGUCUGUCUGCCUGUCUGUCUGCCUGUCUGUCUGUCAUGGGUGCAGUCCAGCAGGCCCAGCUAAUGUCAAGCCGUUUCCUGUGACACAAGGCCAUUUCAUUCACAGUACAGUGAGAUAUAAGGAGGGAAAUCACUCUGAAAUGUCAAAAUAUUCCCGAGCACUUCAACAAAGCCAAAGAAUCCUGUGAAGCACCUAACCUUAUCAACAUGGGAAGAUACUGUUGGUUCAGACAGCCAUAGGUGUUGAGUGUGUGUCAGGGGUGUUGAGCUUGGAAUGAUACAGGAUACUUGCAAAUCUUUUAAACUUGUUUUGGUAUAUAUUUGCCUAUGUUGUGGGCAAGUAUGGGACUUGGUCUAAAGUAGUGCACUACGUAGGGAAUAGGGUGCCAUUUGGGAUGCAGUUGGUCUGCAUUGUCUUUAUCUGCAACCUGUGUUGCUACAUUUGAUAUUUUAGUUAUUUAGCAGACACUCUUAUCCAGAUCUUAUCCGGGGAACAGUGGGUUAACUGCCUUGUUCAGGGGAACAGUGGGUUAACUGCCUUGCUCAGGGGAACAGUGGGUUAACUGCCUUGCUCAGGGGAACAGUGGGUUAACUGCCUUGCUCAGGGGAACAGUGGGUUAACUGCCUUGCUCAGGGGCAGAACGAUAGAUUUUGACCUUGUCAUCUCGGGGGAUUCGAUCCAGCAACCUUUCAGUUACUGGCCCAACGCUCUAACCAUUAGGCUACCUGCCACCCUGUGUUGUUGUGUUACUAUUACAUUAUUGUGUGUUGUUGUGUUAUUCAUCUAUGAAUCUGUGUUGUUGUGUUAUUCAUCUAUGAAUCUGUGUUGUUGUGUUAUUCAUCUAUGAAUCUGUGUUGUUGUGUUAUUCAUCUAUGAAUCUGUGUUGUUGUGUUAUUCAUCUAUNNNNNNNNNNNNNNNNNNNNNNNNNNNNNNNNNNNNNNNNNNNNNNNNNNNNNNNNNNNNNNNNNNNNNNNNNNNNNNNNNNNNNNNNNNNNNNNNNNNNAUUGUUGGUCUAUGAAGGAACUAUCAGACAGACCGUCAUGGAUAUCAGUCUAGACAAGUCAAAUUACAUGUUGCAGCACAGGGCUGAGAAGCAUCAAGCAAAAGAGACACUGUUUUUUAUUUCUGCCUCCCAAAUUAUUUCUGCCCCCCCCCAUAUAGUACACUGCUUUUGAACAGGGCCCGUAGGGUUCACUAUGUAGGGAGUAGGCCACUAUUUGGGACACACACCCUGGGUUUAGAUAGGGGAAGGCUGGAAGGCUGUCAGAGUAGAAGCAGAGCAGAUCCCCAAGCAACAAUAGUCAAUAGUCAUAUCCCCCUUCUAGAGGGGGACACAAUAAAGAUGUGAAUACAUAAUUGAAUAAAGGAGGACAAUAACUCAUACUGUUGUCCAUUGCAAAACAACAACAGAAACCCCCUUGUAAGACAUAUUCGUUUGAAUUACCAGGAGUAAAGACUGAACUGCUUCCUGUUUCUCCUGGGUGGAACGAGCGCUGUAGAGAGCAGAGCUGAGUGGUUCGGUAAGAGAGCAAACGUCCAAUUUAAAAGCUUCAACUACGUCUGUGGUCCAACUGUCGUACUCAAGUCAGUGUGACCUCAGUCAGGUUUAAAUGAUUAGAGAGGAGCUGAGAACAGAGCAGAAGGCUACAACCAACGUACCUACAGCCCUUUCCUAAAUGGCACCCUAUCCCCCUAUGUGCCCUGGUCUAAAGUAGUACACUAUGUAGGGAAGAGGGUGCUAUGGUCCUGGUCUAAAGUAGUGCACCGAAAGGUUGCAAGUUCAAAUCCCCAAGCUGACAAGGUACAAAAUCUGUCGUUCUGCCCCUGAACAGGCAGUUAACCCACUGUUCCUAGGUCGUCAUUGUAAAUAAGAAUUUGUUCUUAACAGACUUGCCUGGUCUAAAGUAGUGCACUAUACAGGGAAUAGGGUGUUAUUUGGGACAUAAGUAACCUAAUUUGUCAAAUAAACAAAAACACUUUGAACUCUCAGAGAGCGAUAUGUAGACAUGUUUACGAUGGGUUUACAGCAUAACCUUUAAUGUAGCAUAUUUCAGACUGAAACUAUCCUAGACAGCUGUGUUCUGGCUUUAUCAGCACCCUGCUGUGGUUUAUUUUCAAAUAGGAGAUUUGAAAGCUCAGAUUUUUAGCUCAGCGCUAAACCACAUACAUGGGGUGUGUUCCAAAUCGCAUCCUAUUCCCUUCACAGUGCUUCUGACCAGGACCCAGGAGCACCCUAUUCCCUACAUAGUGCAUUAAUUGUUGCUAGGGCCCAUAGUGCACUAUAAAGGGAACAGGGUUCCAUUUGAGGCGCAGACAUGGUGACUCAUUGGACAGAGAGAGAGAGACAGAGAGAGAGAGAGAGAGAGAGAGAGAGAGAGAGAGAGAGAGAGAGAGAGAGAGAGAGAGAGAGAGAGAGAGAGAGAGAGAGAGAGAGAGAGAGAGAGAGAGAGAGAGAGAGAGAGAGAGAGAGAGAGAGAGAGAGAGAGAGAGAGAGAGAGAGAGAGAGAGAGAGAGAGAGAGAGAGANNNNNNNNNNAUUGUUGGUCUAUGAAGGAACUAUCAGACAGACCGUCAUGGAUAUCAGUCUAGACAAGUCAAAUUACAUGUUGCAGCACAGGGCUGAGAAGCAUCAAGCAAAAGAGACACUGUUUUUUAUUUCUGCCUCCCAAAUUAUUUCUGCCCCCCCCCAUAUAGUACACUGCUUUUGAACAGGGCCCGUAGGGUUCACUAUGUAGGGAGUAGGCCACUAUUUGGGACACACACCCUGGGUUUAGAUAGGGGAAGGCUGGAAGGCUGUCAGAGUAGAAGCAGAGCAGAUCCCCAAGCAACAAUAGUCAAUAGUCAUAUCCCCCUUCUAGAGGGGGACACAAUAAAGAUGUGAAUACAUAAUUGAAUAAAGGAGGACAAUAACUCAUACUGUUGUCCAUUGCAAAACAACAACAGAAACCCCCUUGUAAGACAUAUUCGUUUNNNNNNNNNNUGAUUAGAGAGGAGCUGAGAACAGAGCAGAAGGCUACAACCAACGUACCUACAGCCCUUUCCUAAAUGGCACCCUAUCCCCCUAUGUGCCCUGGUCUAAAGUAGUACACUAUGUAGGGAAGAGGGUGCUAUGGUCCUGGUCUAAAGUAGUGCACCGAAAGGUUGCAAGUUCAAAUCCCCAAGCUGACAAGGUACAAAAUCUGUCGUUCUGCCCCUGAACAGGCAGUUAACCCACUGUUCCUAGGUCGUCAUUGUAAAUAAGAAUUUGUUCUUAACAGACUUGCCUGGUCUAAAGUAGUGCACUAUACAGGGAAUAGGGUGUUAUUUGGGACAUAAGUAACCUAAUUUGUCAAAUAAACAAAAACACUUUGAACUCUCAGAGAGCGAUAUGUAGACAUGUUUACGAUGGGUUUACAGCAUAACCUUUAAUGUAGCAUAUUUCAGACUGAAACUAUCCUAGACAGCUGUGUUCUGGCUUUAUCAGCACCCUGCUGUGGUUUAUUUUCAAAUAGGAGAUUUGAAAGCUCAGAUUUUUAGCUCAGCGCUAAACCACAUACAUGGGGUGUGUUCCAAAUCGCAUCCUAUUCCCUUCACAGUGCUUCUGACCAGGACCCAGGAGCACCCUAUUCCCUACAUAGUGCAUUAAUUGUUGCUAGGGCCCAUAGUGCACUAUAAAGGGAACAGGGUUCCAUUUGAGGCGCAGACAUGGUGACUCAUUGGACAGAGAGAGAGAGACAGAGAGAGAGAGAGAGAGAGAGAGAGAGAGAGAGAGAGAGAGAGAGAGAGAGAGAGAGAGAGAGAGAGAGAGAGAGAGAGAGAGAGAGAGAGAGAGAGAGAGAGAGAGAGAGAGAGAGAGAGAGAGAGAGAGA